rnacentral:snRNA from 1 species
UAAUGUGAGGGUGAUCUGGCUGUGACAUCUGUCACCUCAUCAAUCACCAAGGUUGAUUCACUGAUCUGGCUGGCUAGGCAGUGUCUCAUUCCUCCCUCACAGCUCCAUGUGCAUCCCUCCUGACGCUGUGUGCUUGGUCAAAGAAAACAACCAUCCCUGAUAGUGGAGGACUGGUCUUCGGUCACGGGUAUAUGAGUAGCUGCACUCCCCUCCUAGAAACCUCCAUAACGAGCUCUCAAAUAUACCUAUUUUUUGAAGUCCCUCAUCACUCUCUACAUUUUU